UACGUAGGGACCGAGCGUUGUCCGGAAUCAUUGGGCGUAAAGAGCGUGUAGGCGGCCACUUAAGUCCUGCGUGAAAUCUUGCGGCUCAACCGCAAGCGGUCGUGGGAAACUGGGUGGCUAGAGUGCGGGAGAGGAGAGUGGAAUUCCUGGUGUAGCGGUGGAAUGCGCAGAUAUCAGGAAGAACACCCGUGGCGAAGGCGGCUCUCUGGAACGCAACUGACGCUGAGAGACGAAAGCUAGGGGAGCAAAUGGG
rnacentral:rRNA from 1 species